rnacentral:rRNA from 1 species
AUUGAACGCUGGCGGCAGGCCUAACACAUGCAAGUCGAACGAGUGGCGGACGGGUGAGUAAUGUCUGGGAAACUGCCCGAUGGAGGGGGGUAACUACUGGAAACGGUAGCUAAUACCGCAUACCAUCGGAUGUGCCCAGAUGGGAUUAGCUAGUAGGUGGGGUAACGGCUCACCUAGGCGACGAGCCCUAGCUGGUCUCAGAGGAGGACCAGCCACCUUGGAACUUAGACACGGUCCAGACUCCUACGGGAGGCAGCAGUGGGGAAUAUUGCACGAUGGGCGCAAGCCUGAUGCAGCCAUGCCGCUUGUAUGAAGAAUGCCUUCGGGUUGUAAAGUACUUUCAGCGAGGAGGCGUUACUCGCAGAAGAAUCACCGGCUAACUCCUUGCCAGCAGCCGCGGUAAUUC